rnacentral:rRNA from 1 species
CCUACGGGUGGCAGCAGUAGGGAAUAUUGCUCAAUGGGGGAAACCCUGAAGCAGCAACGCCGCGUGGAGGAUGAAGGUUUUCGGAUUGUAAACUCCUUUUGUUAGAGAAGAUAAUGACGGUAUCUAACGAAUAAGCACCGGCUAACUCCGUGCCAGCAGCCGCGGUAAUACGGAGGGUGCAAGCGUUACUCGGAAUCACUGGGCGUAAAGAGCGCGUAGGCGGGAUAGCAAGUCAGAUGUGAAAUCCUAUGGCUUAACCAUAGAACUGCAUUUGAAACUGUUAUUCUAGAGUAUGGGAGAGGUAGGUGGAAUUCUUGGUGUAGGGGUAAAAUCCGUAGAGAUCAAGAGGAAUACUCAUUGCGAAGGCAGCUUGCUAGGCCGGAUCUGACACUGAUGCACGAAAGCGUGGGGAUCGAACAGGAUUAGAUACCCGUGUAGUC